UUCUAUCUGCAGUGAGAGAUUCCGACCAAUUGAUUGGUUCAGGAGCAGAUUGUUCAGGUGUUUGCUUCUAUGCUCACGCGACAGUCAACUCCACGUUGUUAGUAGUACUCAUCUUCAUGACCAAUGACUUUUCCCAGCUUUUCACAAUUCCUUGUGCAGCUCCCCAAUUCAAUAUUGGCGAAGUACAUUAGGUAGCAGAGCUGUUUAUCGACAAUUCCUUGGCUCCUUUGCCAUGUAGUGAUGCAUGCGCAAGUGGAUAAUAUUUUCCUGUGUAAUGCUAAAUAAAAUCAUCACAAGUAGUAAUAUUUUCUGCUCCAUUUUCUGAAUUGCCCGAGAAGCACUUAAAUGCUUUCAUUUUUUUAAAUCAUUCAUUAUUAUUCUCAUAGGGUUGUUGUGCCUGCUAGUGCUCAGGAUAGCAGGUUGCAGCGAUAUACUUAUUUGUUGAUUGCGGUUUGGGAUUCACAGGAAUUGUUCAUCUAGUGCAUAGGUGCUGGUAUUUGUCUGCGCUUUCUGGAGGGCGACAAGAUGAAAUUUGGCUUGGAGGCUACCCAACCAAGCACUGCCGAUUUGACCUCAAGGAAGAAAAAGCUUGAAAAACUUAGAGGAUAAGCAGAAAACUGAUGGUGAACCUAGGGAGCUUGACCAGGACGACCAAAACAAUGUCCAGGGAAUUGUACUAGAUGAUCGAAGUUGACAUCUGCAUUCCACUUAAAAUGCCAAGUUUCCUGCAGAUUAAUUUGACUUGAUAUGAGAGAUAAUCUAGAUUCACCAGCAAAUCAUGAUUGUAGUUUGUGAUAUACUUGUGUUUGAUCUCAGCAGGUCUCAUAAUGAUUGUAGUUUGUGAUGCACGUGUGUUUGAUCUCAGCUGGUCUCUGGAGAAGCAGCUGUGGGAGUGCUGGCGGAAGAGGUCUCUGGAGAAAGAGCUGUCGGAGGUCUCUGGAGAAAGAGCUGUAGGAGCUAUUAUUUAGAGGUCCAUUGCAUGUUAUUAUUGAAUUUGCACAAACCAUGUAACUUGGUAUUGAUGAUUACGUGAAUAUGCAAUUGGUUGUGUGCAGUACAUUUUGAUAUAGUACUGUUUUGAGCUCUAUUUGUUUGUUCAACCAUA